CUGCCCGCCAUGCGCUCUCCGCUGGCCUGUGGGACACAGACCUACCCCCACCUCCCCAUUUCGGCUUUCAGGAGUGUGGACGCCUCAGGGCACUAGCGAGACUCUCCAG
rfam:Camelus ferus unplaced genomic scaffold scaffold56579, whole genome shotgun sequence.